CUGGUUAAUUCAGAUAACGAACUAGACUCUGGCAUGCUAACUAGUUACGCGACCCCCUGAGCGGUCGGCGUCCCCCAACUUCUUAGAGGGACAAGUGGCGUUCAGCCACCCGAGAUUGAGCAAUAACAGACCUGUUAUUGCUCAAUCUCGGGUGGCUGAACGCCACUUGUCCCUCUAAGAAGUUGGGGGACGCCGACCGCUCAGGGGGUCGCGUAACUAGUUAGCAUGCCAGAGUCUAGUUCGUUAUCUGAAUUAACCAGACAUAUCGCUCCACCAUCUAAGAACGGCCAUGCACCACCACCCACGGAAUCGAGAAAGAGCUAUCAAUCUGUCAAUCCUGUCUGUGUCCGGGCCGGGUGAGGUUUCCCGUGUUGAGUCAAAUUAAGCUGCAGGCUCCACUCGUGGUGGUGCCCUUCCGUCAAUUUCGCUAAGUUUCAGCUUUGCAACCAUACUCCCCCCAGAACCCAAAGACUUUGGUUUCCACAGAAGAUGCUUGACUAUCAUGGGAAUAACGCCGCCGCAUCGCCAGUCGCCAUCUGUUUAGUUAUGUACCCCCAUUUGUUUUUCUUUUUCUUUCUCUAUUUCUCUUUCUUUUUCUUUCAAUGGGGGAGGGGAUUUUUUUUAAUUCACAUUUUAAAUAUUAUCCCCUUUCCUCAUUUGCCCUCUAGAAACCGGCUAUUAUUUCCCCUCAUGCCUCCUGUUCUGAGGGCAGUUCCUCACUCACCCACUCACUCCUUCCAACCUGCCCAUUCUGACAGUUCCCUACACUGGGGCAUCAAGCCUUGACAGGACCAAGGGCAUUUGCUCCCAUUGGUGCCUGAAAAGGAUAUCCUCUGCUUCAUAUGCAGAUGGAGCCAUAGGCUCAUCCUUGUGUAUUCUUGGGAUGGUUGUUUAGUCCAUGGAAGAUCAAGGGCAGGGGGUUGGUUGGUUGAUAUUGUUCUUCUUAUGGGGUGGCAAACCCCUUCAACUACUUCAGUUCUUUCUCUAACUCCUCUUUUUGGAACCUUGUUCUCAGCUCAAUGGUUGAUUGCAAGCAUUCUCCCUUCUUCCCUCCGUCUCUUCUUCCCUCCCUCCCCACACCGCUCUAUGUUUGUAUGUUUGUGUGUUUCUGUGUCUCUGUGUAUGUGUGUCUGUGUCUGUAUGUCUUUCUAAGUGAAUGUCACUUUUCUUUUCUUAGAAAAAGUGAUGAGGUAAGAGUCUUCCCCAAGCUAUGCAAAUACGUCCUUUAGGCUGAGGCCAGAGUAUUUUUUACCUCUGUUCUACUAUUUAUAGACCUAAUACUAGGAGCUUCUAGCCUCCAUGUAAUCCAACCUUCCAAGUUGACUGAUUCAAUAUGGUUUCUCUUGGCAUCUUCAUGAGUUGUUCUACUUGGACUCACAUUAACUUGGACAAUGUGUUACAAUCUUCUGGAUCCUUCUAAUUCUCCAGCUUUUUCUGUUGUCCCCAGUGAAUAGUUUGUUCUCUCAGAACCUGAAUCUGUAAAACCAUGUCCAGAAAACUUCCGUAAACACAUGCCACACACCACAACUUCUCUUUCUUGCUCUACUUCUCUCUGUCUUUCUUUUGUCUAUUUUUGUCUCUCUUUCUUUACUCUUUACUCUUGUGUAUUCUCUUAUUCCUAAGCUGUUCUCAUGUGAAUUGGGCAUAUUUUAUCUGUGAUACAUUCUGUCACUUUUUUCUUUGAAUUACUACUUUAUCUGGCCCUCAAUUAUAUGACACUUUCAAACAUGGCUACCAACCUUACAAUGUACAAUCAUCUUGCUAAUAUUUAUCUACCUAGUUCUUACCUGGACCUAUUGGUUGUAAAGAAUUAACCUUUCAGGAUGCCUAUAUUUAUGGCAGAGUCUUUCUGACCUUUCAUAUAUGAUGGCCUGUGUCUCAAAGAUGAGGGUAUUAGAAUAAAAUUAUUCUACACAUUUUCUAGAACGUUGAAAGAUUCAACUUAAGUCUUAUUUUAUGAUCCCAUUAGCAGCCAUCAGUCCAAAACACAAAAUCACUAAAACAAAUCCGAGUUGCAUCAGGUAGGGUGGGAAGAUAUCCCAGUGAUUAAGCAGGCAGGAAAUGUUACAUGGGAAGACAUGGGAAGAAGAUUGUUUAUUGGUCUAUGUUUAUGGCUUGCUCAGCCUGUGUUUUUAUAAAAGCUAGAACAAUAAACCCAGGAGUGGGACAAGCUACAGUGAGCUGGGCCCUCCAACAAAAUUAUUGAUCAAGAAAGUGGCCACAGGCUUUUUCAUUGGACAAUCUUAUGAAGAGUUUUUUCUCAGUUAAGAUUUCUUCUUCCAAGUUAUCUCUAGUUUUAUAUCACGUUGAUAAAAAACCUUCCUAUAUAGUUUGUAGGUGAGAGUUUGUGGGUGUAUAUCUCUAAGCUUGUGUAUUGAAGUGAUAUCAUUAAAAAUUUUACAAAAGAA